rnacentral:rRNA from 1 species
GACGAACGCUGGCGGCGUGCUUAACACAUGCAAGUCGAGCGAAAGGAUUCCCUUCGGGGAUGAAUUUAGCGGAGGACGGGUGAGUAACACGUGGGCAACCUGCCUUAUAGAGGGGGAUAGCCUUCCGAAAGGAAGAUUAAUACCGCAUAACAUCAUUUUACCGCAUGGUAGUUUGAUCAAAGGAGCAAUCCGCUAUAAGAUGGGCCCGCGGCGCAUUAGCUAGUUGGUGAGGUAACGGCUCACCAAGGCGACGAUGCGUAGCCGACCUGAGAGGGUGAUCGGCCACAUUGGGACUGAGACACGGCCCAGACUCCUACGGGAGGCAGCAGUGGGGAAUAUUGCACAAUGGGGGAAACCCUGAUGCAGCAACGCCGCGUGAGUGAUGAAGGCCUUCGGGUUGUAAAGCUCUGUCUUUGGGGACGAUAAUGACGGUACCCAAGGAGGAAGCCACGGCUAACUACGUGCCAGCCGCCGCGGUAACAC